AUAUAUCGGAACGUGUCCAAUAAUGGGGGAUAACGAGUCGAAAGAUUCGCUAAUACCGCAUACGCCCUACGGGGGAAAGCAGGGGAUCGUAAGACCUUGCGUUAAUGGAGCGGCCGAUAUCUGAUUAGCUUGUUGGUGAGGUAAAGGCUCACCAAGGCGACGAUCAGUAGCUGGUUUGAGAGAACGACCAGCCACACUGGAACUGAGACACGGUCCAGACUCCUACGGGAGGCAGCAGUGGGGAAUUUUGGACAAUGGGGGCAACCCUGAUCCAGCCAUUCCGCGUGAGUGAAGAAGGCCUUCGGGUUGUAAAGCUCUUUCGCAAGGGAAGAAAACUUAUGAUCGAAUAAAUCAUGAGGUUGACGGUACCUUGAUAAGAAGCACCGGCUAACUACGUGCCAGCAGCCGCGGUAAUACGUAGGGUGCGAGCGUUAAUCGGAAUUACUGGGCGUAAAGCGUGCGCAGGCGGUUUUGUAAGUCGGAUGUGAAAUCCCCGGGCUCAACCUGGGAACUGCGUUCGAAACUGCAAGGCUAGAGUGUGUCAGAGGGGGGUAGAAUUCCACGUGUAGCAGUGAAAUGCGUAGAGAUGUGGAGGAAUACCAAUGGCGAAGGCAGCCCCCUGGGAUAACACUGACGCUCAUGCACGAAAGCGUGGGGAGCAAACAGGAUUAGAUACCCUGGUAGUCCACGCCCUAAACGAUGUCNNCUAGUUGUUGGUAGAGUAAAAUCUAUGAGUAACGUAGCUAACGCGUGAAGUUGACCGCCUGGGGAGUACGGUCGCAAGANUAAAACUCAAAGGAAUUGACGGGG
rnacentral:rRNA from 1 species